rnacentral:rRNA from 1 species
CAAUAGCGUAUAUUAAAGUUGUUGCGGUUAAAAAGCUCGUAGUUGGAUUUCUGCCGAGGACGACCGGUCCGCCCUCUGGGUGAGUAUCUGGCUCGGCCUGGGCAUCUUCUUGGUGAACGUUGCUGCACUUGACUGUGUGGAGCGCUACCCAGGACUUUUACUUUGAGGAAAUUAGAGUGUUUCAAGCAGGCAUACGCCUUGAAUACAUUAGCAUGGAAUAAUAAGAUAGGACCUCGGUUCUAUUUUGUUGGUUUCUAGAGCUGAGGUAAUGAUUAAUAGGGAUAGUUGGGGGCAUUCGUAUUUAACUGUCAGAGGUGAAAUUCUUGGAUUUGUUAGAGACGGACUACUGCGAAAGCAUUUGCCAAGGAUGUUUUCAUUGA